AUGGGGGUGGAAAUCCUGAGCUCCAUGGUGGAGCACUCCUUCCAGUACUCUUCCGGCGUGUCCACGGCCACGACGGAGUCAGGCACCGCCGGAACACCGCCGAGGCCUUUGAGCCUACCUGUCGCCAUCGCCGACGAGUCCGUGACCUCGCGGUCGGCGUCGUCUCGGUUCAAGGGCGUGGUGCCGCAGCCAAACGGGCGAUGGGGCGCCCAGAUCUACGAGCGCCACGCUCGCGUCUGGCUCGGCACGUUCCCAGACCAGGACUCGGCGGCGCGCGCCUACGACGUAGCCUCGCUCAGGUACCGCGGCCGCGACGUCGCCUUCAACUUCCCGUGCGCGGCCGUGGAGGGGGAGCUCGCCUUCCUGGCGGCGCACUCCAAGGCUGAGAUAGUGGACAUGCUCCGGAAGCAGACCUACGCCGAUGAACUCCGCCAGGGCCUGCGGCGCGGCCGUGGCAUGGGGGCGCGCGCGCAGCCGACGCCGUCGUGGGCGCGGGAGCCCCUUUUCGAGAAGGCCGUGACCCCUAGCGAUGUCGGCAAGCUCAAUCGCCUCGUAGUGCCGAAGCAGCACGCCGAGAAGCACUUCCCCCUGAAGCGCACGCCGGAGACGCCGACCACCACCGGCAAGGGCGUGCUGCUCAACUUCGAGGACGGCGAGGGGAAGGUGUGGAGGUUCCGGUACUCGUACUGGAACAGCAGCCAGAGCUACGUGCUCACCAAAGGCUGGAGCCGCUUCGUCCGGGAGAAGGGCCUAGGUGCCGGCGACUCCAUCCUAUUCUCGUGCUCGCUGUACGAACAGGAGAAGCAGUUCUUCAUCGACUGCAAGAAGAACACUAGCAUGAACGGAGGCAAAUCGGCGUCGCCGCUGCCAGUGGGGGUGACUACCAAAGGAGAACAAGUUCGCGUCGUUAGGCUAUUCGGUGUCGACAUCUCGGGAGUGAAGAGGGGGCGAGCGGCGACGGCAACGGCGGAGCAAGGCCUGCAGGAGUUGUUCAAGAGGCAAUGCGUGGCACCCGGCCAGCACUCUCCUGCCCUAGGUGCCUUCGCCUUAUAG
rnacentral:rRNA from 1 species